AAUGGAAUCUAAUACGCAGUAUUCACAGAAAAAAGUCUUCAUUUAUUGGGAAAGAAUCAAUAUACUUUUAAUGUCGAAUCGGAAUUCACCGAAAUAAUGCAUUGGGUCGAACUCUUCUUUGGUGUUAAGGUGCUAGCUGUGAAUAGCCAUCGACUACCUGGAAAAGGUACAUCCCUGUCGGCGACUGCUCCAUCGCCGGACGGCAGAUCUUUUGCGGUUUUCUCGCCGAGCUCUCGGAGCUGCGGUUAG
rnacentral:rRNA from 1 species